ACACUCUGGGCCCUAGACUCCUCGCUUCUCCUCGCCUCGCCUCGAGUCUCUGGCUUCGACCUCUCUACUCCCUUGUUUCUGACCUGUGCUCCGUGGUGUCUCUGAUCUCCCCCUGCCGCCGGGGGAAAGGAGGAACAUCCCUCCCAGGACUCACACCUAUUCUCUAACUCUGCCUACCUGCUCAAUUCACCUGAUACUCUGCCAGUGGAUUGCUGAUGUUUCUACAUUGAUUCAGAUUUGCACCCACAUCUGAAAAUAAUCAGCAGGCAGGGACCCUCUGUCACCACAAGUGGAGGAGGAGGAGAUGAAAGAGCCUUGUCUGACACCCUGGAUACUGGAAGAUGGCCCUUGCCAGAUGUGGGCCCAUCCAUCUUGGACUUCCCAGCUAGCCUCCAGAACUGGAAACUACCCAGACUGUGUCCUCUCCCUCUUACUCUCCUAAAGGAAGACAAGGAAGACAAUGACAAAUGGCAUUUGCAGCAAAGCAACACCAACAGCCAACUUGAUGCUCAAGGGAGAACGCUGUGCCUCUUCCUCAUGGUUUCCAGUGCUCUACACAUUCAGAGAAACUUUUCUGGUAAUAAACUAUAGAAACAAUGAGACUGUGCCCAUGGGCGAGACCCCAUCUCUACAAAAAAUACAAAAAUUAGCCAGGUGUAGUGGUGUGCACCUGGAUUCCCCAGCUACUUGGAAGGCUGAGAUGGGAAGAUCACUUGAGCCCCGGAGGUUGAGACUGCAGUGCGCCAUGAUCACGCCACUGUACUUCAGCCUCAGUGACAAAGCAAAAGCCUGUUUCAAAAAAAAAAAAAAAGACAGAGAGAAAUUAGCUGGGGAUGGUGGUUCACACCUGUAAUCCCCGCACUUUGGAAGGCCGAGGCAGGUGGAUCACUUGAGAUCAGGAGUUUGAGACCAGCCUGGCCAAAAUGGUGAAACCCCGUCUCUACUAAAAAUACAAAAAUGAGCAAAGCAUGGUGGUGGAUGCCUAUAAUCCCAGCUACUCAGAAGGCUGAGAUGGGAGAAUCACUUGAAUCCCAGGAGACAGAGGUUGCAGUGAGCCGAGAUCGCGCCACUGCACUCCAGUUUGGGCAACAGAAUGAGGCUCCAUCUCAAGAAACAGAAAAAGGGAAAUGAUCCCUGAAAGUAUACUCUUUCGUUGUAGUUUUUAUUUGCAUUUUGCUAAUGAUUAGUGAUGUUGAGCACCUUUUCAUGUGCUUAUUGGCUGUUUGUUUUUUGUUUGUUUGUUUGUUUUUUGUUUUUUGGAGCAAUACCUAUUCAAGUCCUUUGUUCAUUUUUGGGUUGCUUGGUUUUUGUUGUUGGUGUUGAGUUUUAGGAGCUGCCUCUAUAUCCUGGAUAUCAAUUCCUUAUCAGAUAUAUAACUUGCAAAUAUUUUCUCCCAUUCUGCCAAUUACCUUUUGAAUUUGUUGAUAUUGUUUUUUUGAUGAACAAACUUCUUAAGUUUUCAUCAAGGCUAAUUUGUCUAUUUUGUUGUUAUUGUUGCCCCCGUCUUUGGUGUCAGAUCCAAAAAAAUUUUUGCCAAAUCCAAUGUUGGGAAGCAUUUGCCAUAUGUUUUCUUCUAAGAGUUUUAAAAGUUUAGGUCUUACAUUUAGGUCUUUGAUCCAUUUUGAGUUAAUUUUUGUAUAUAGUGUUAGGUAAGCGUCCAACUUUAUUCUCUUACAUGUGGAUAUCCGGUUUUCCCAGCACUAUUUGUUUAAAAAACAAAAAUCAAACAAACAAAAACCUGUCCUUUCCCCAUUAAAUAGUCUUGGCAUUCUCGUCAAAAAUCAGGCUGGAGUGCAGUGGCAUGAUCUUGGCUCACUGCAACCUCCACCUUCCAGAUUCAAGCGAUUCUCCUGCCUCAGCCUCCCAAGUAGCUGAGAUUCAGGUGUGCACCACCACGCCCAGCUAACUUUUUUAUUUUUAAUAGAGACGGGGUUUCACCAUGUUGGUCAGGCUGGUCUCGAACUCCUGACCUCAGGUGAUCCACCUGCCUCAGCCUCCCAAUGUGCUGGGAUUACAGGUGUGAGCCACCGCACCUGGCCUGAUCAAGUUUAAGACUACAUUGCACCACAGCACUGCAGCGUAGACAACAGAGCAAGACCCUAUGUC
rnacentral:antisense_RNA from 1 species